ACUAAUGUUAACGCCAGAUUGCAGCGAUCACCUCGAUCAUGGGGUUAACUCUGUUGCUGGAUGCCUCAAUGUCACAGGCAGACCAGCAACCGUCAAUAGCACUGUCCCAACACAUGUGAUCGCUGUGACAGCCAGUUACAGCGAUCACAGUGCUGCUGGGAUUUCUGAUCCUCCUCCCUCCACCUCUCUGUGUGUAGAGAAGUGGAGAGAGAUGGAUCGGUGCUGCAACAUUG